AUGUUCUUUACAAUAAAAACAAGGGCUCCGCCUCAAGGCGAGCGGAGUUUGGGGUCCCCUAAAAAUACCCAUCUAGAGAGAGAGCUGGAGGGACAGAGCAGGAGAAGGAAGGGGGGAGAGGGGGGGACAUGGGCUUGUACAAUGGCAUCUUCCCGACCCGAGCUGCAGCCUGCGGGAUCUCAGCUUCUCCUGGACUUCGAGUGCUGGAUAAGCCACUGUAGGGUGAUGUCUGCGAAGGGAAGGGGUGGUUACAGCCUCUCCCCUCCCCUCGUCCUGGACGUGGGGCACAGCCUGGGUGCGCUGCAGCACCCCUGCUCCCCCCCGUGGCACCCCGAGGUGCCGGCACUCACCGAUGUUGUCCUUUUCUUUGCAGGAGAUGGAGUAGCAGCAGAUCUCUCGGUCCUGGAUGGCGGAGAGGUUCCUGCGGGAGAGGGCGAGUUCAGGAGGGCUGCACCCAUGGGAGCCUCCCCAGAGUCCCCGGGGAGCCUUUCUAAAGGGUCCCCUUGGAGCCAGGCUCUGAGAAGGGGCACCCCGGCCAGGGCAACGUCACCCCAAACCCCUGGGGGGCUCCGGGCAGGGCAGGUGAGGACGCUGGCGCAUGGCUCCUGCCGGCUGCUGGGCAGCUUUGUGCUCAGCGCCCUGCAGGGGCUACGUGAGGGGCAGGGGGAACGUGGUCCCAGGGACAGCCUGGCCAAGAAACCACGCAGCUUCCCUCAGAGCAUCCCAAAACACUGCCGGGAGAUGGAGCACCAAGGACUUGGGACUGCGCGGGGUGCCCACAGGACAGGGGUGGUGCAGAGGUGCCCAGAGCCACGCUGUGGGGUCCCUGGGGUGGCGAGAGGCCUCGGGGCUGGAGCGGGAGGGCAGCAGGGAAGGGGCAGGACCCUGCGGGACCCCACACCAUCACCGAGCCCCGAGCAUCGAGCCCUGAGCGUGGCCAGGCCCCCGCGCCCCCCUGUGGCACAGGGAGCCCAGGCUCCUGCAGCCGGGGUUUGGGGACAAGACGUGUCCCUGCUGGGCACGGAGCAGCCACCAGCACACUCACAUCUUCUCGAUGAGCUCCUUCUCAUCCAAGGCACCGGGGAGGUCUCGCUUGUUCCCCAGGACUAG
rnacentral:lncRNA from 1 species